GAAAGGAUCCUAAAAUAUUUUAUUUCAGGAUUUCUUAAUUAUAUGAUUUAUAUUGCUUUCUUGUCUUCUAUUAAUCAUUUGGUAUCAGCAAUGCCAAAUCACUCUUUACUGUUUUAGCUACAUGAAAUGAUGCCUAUAACAGAUAUAAAGAUCUAGUGCCUUAAGGAUUAUAAUUCUACUGUCUUAUGAUAUGUUGUCUUGAUUGUUAUCAUUUAAAGACAUAGAUAAUAGAAAAAAUCAUAGAGUCUAUAAGAGAAAGCUUGUAAAAAUAUACUAAAAAAUAUACUGGUUUUUAAAAAAAUUGUCACAAACAGAAAUAUUUGGCAAUUCCAUGUAACAUGAGAGACAUGGAAAAGGAGAAAAAACCCACUAUGUCCUGGGCUCUGCAGAUUGUUUUAUAGUCAGGUUUCUCCACCACCUGGAUCCCCAGCUCAGACUGACUCAGUAUGGAGUCUCAUCUGUGAACAGAUUGGCCUUUAAAACUCAAAAUAAGUCAUAUGUUCCAGCUAAAUGCAUCAAAGCUUUGAGAUCCUGGACGUCUCUGCAGCCCAAUGAUGUGGGUUCUUUUUCCUUUCAUUAAAAAAUUGUUUUUACCAGAGCAACUUCUCUGAUCAAAAUGACUUCGUUGUGUGUAUGCUGAUGAAUACAGAGGAGAUAUAAACACUAUAACUGUUUCCUCACUAUCUAAGAUUCUGCAGAGAUGUUUGUGAUGAUGUUUCAAGUAUAUAAUAUUCUAAUUGCAUUUAAACAAGUAUUUUGUAUUUGGGUUCAGGGGAAGGAAGAGAGCAUUUUACCAUGGGGCUGUCGUAGAGGGUUUAUGGAAUAUAGACAGGACUCUGAAAACACAACUCCCAACAGUUUUCCUAGUUAAUAAAAAUCCUAUUAAU
rnacentral:lncRNA from 1 species